CAGCAGCCGCGGGAAUACGAAGGGUGCAAGCGUUACUCGGAUUUACUGGGCGUAAAGCGUGCGUAGGCGGCUUUUUAAGUCGGAUGUGAAAUCCCUGAGCUUAACUUAGGAAUUGCAUUCGAUACUGGGAAGCUAGAGUAUGGGAGAGGAUGGUAGAAUUCCAGGUGUAGCGGUGAAAUGCGUAGAGAUCUGGAGGAAUACCGAUGGCGAAGGCAGCCAUCUGGCCUAAUACUGACGCUGAGGUACGAAAGCAUGGGGAGCAAACAGGAUUAGAUACCCCAGUAGUCCCUGUCUCUUAUAC
rnacentral:rRNA from 1 species